UUCAAACGAGGAAAGGCUUAUGGUGGAUACCUAGGC
rnacentral:rRNA from 1 species